rnacentral:rRNA from 1 species
AUUGAACGCUGGCGGCAGGCCUAACACAUGCAAGUCGAGCGGAUGACGGGAGCUUGCUCCUUGAUUCAGCGGCGGACGGGUGAGUAAUGCCUAGGAAUCUGCCUGGUAGUGGGGGGCAACGUUUCGAAAGGAACGCUAAUACCGCAUACGUCCUACGGGAGAAAGCAGGGGACCUUCGGGCCUUGCGCUAUCAGAUGAGCCUAGGUCGGAUUAGCUAGUUGGUGGGGUAAUGGCUCACCAAGGAGACGAUCCGUAACUGGUCUGAGAGGAUGAUCAGUCACACUGGAACUGAGACACGGUCCAGACUCCUACGGGAGGCAGCAGUGGGGAAUAUUGGACAAUGGGCGAAAGCCUGAUCCAGCCAUGCCGCGUGUGUGAAGAAGGUCUUCGGAUUGUAAAGCACUUUAAGUUGGGAGGAAGGGCAGUAAGUUAAUACCUUGCUGUUUUGACGUUACCGACAGAAUAAGCACCGGCUAACUCUGUGCCAGCCGCCGCCGUAACAC